CCUACGGGAGGCAGCAGUGGGGAAUAUUGGACAAUGGGGGCAACCCUGAUCCAGCAAUUCUGUGUGCACGAAGACGGUUUUCGGAUUGUAAAGUGCUUUCAGCAGGGAAGAAGUAAGUGACGGUACCUGCAGAAGAAGCGACGGCUAAAUACGUGCCAGCAGCCGCGGUAAUACGUAUGUCGCGAGCGUUAUCCGGAAUUAUUGGGCAUAAAGGGCAUCUAGGCGGCCUUCCAAGUCAGGGGUGAAAACCUGCGGCUCAACCGCAGGCCUGCCUUUGAAACUGAUAGGCUGGAGUACCGGAGAGGUGGACGGAACUGCACGAGUAGAGGUGAAAUUCGUAGAUAUGUGCAGGAAUGCCGAUGAUGAAGAUAGUUCACUGGACGGUAACUGACGCUGAAGUGCGAAAGCCGGGGGAGCGAACAGGAUUAGAUACCCGAGUAGUC
rnacentral:rRNA from 1 species